GCUUCUGUGGUUAAGUGGUUAAGAGCACUGACUUUCAAUCCGAAGGUGCUGGGUUCAAAUCCCAGCCAAGGCG
rnacentral:tRNA from 1 species